GGUAUUGGCCACUGUCAGUAGACAUGUCUGCUCUUGUCUGAUCUCAGAAGCUAAGCAGGGUUGGGCCUGGUUAGUACUUGGAUGGGAGACCUCGUGGGAAUACUGGGUGCUGUAGGCU
rnacentral:rRNA from 1 species